CCGGGCAUUGCUCGGCGGGAAAUGUAGCGUUUGGGAGGGUCCGUUAACACGGCGGCUCGCUCUUCGUUCAAGUCCAACUUGAAUGGGGCCACACAGAGGGUGACAGGCCCGUAGAGCAGGAGCGACCGUCGUGUGGGCCUCUCCUUAGAGUCGGUUUGCUUGAGAGUGCAGACCUAAGUGGGUGGUAAACUCCAUCUAAGGCUAAAUAUGACCACGAGACCGAUAGCACACAAGUACCGUGAGGGAAAGGUGAAAAGAACUUUGAAGAGAGAGUUCAAGAGUACGUGAAACUGAAAUGGUGUAAACGGACGAGACCGAAAAGUCCGAAAGAGGAGAUUCAGGUUCUCUGCGGCGUCGGCACUGCGGGUCGAAUGGUGCGGUCAGCGUGGGCUCUCGGGCGCUGCGUCAUACCGUUGUCAUCGACUCGUGGGGCUAUCAGGCGUUGCGGUGGACUGCACUUCUCCUCUAGUAGGACGUCGCGACCCGUUGGGAUCGUUCCGGCCUAUGGCCCGGGGUGGAGCCCGUGCCGGUGUGUGGACUCGUUUCAUACAGCUGUUGCACGGACCCCUGGUGACCUGGUCGGCGCCCGACGGUAUCAAAGUUGGGAAGGAACCGCACAGAGGAUGCGUCUGAUGCCCGUACUGGGCUAUACUCGGACAGGUUCGCACCCAGUCAGCGGCGCUUCUGCUUUCGGUACUCGUCCGACCCGUCUUGAAACACGGACCAAGGAGUCUAACAUGUGCGCGAGUCAUUGGGCUCAUACGAAUCCUAAAGGCGAAAUGAAAGUAAAGGCGCUCUUAUGAGUGCUUAGGGGUGAUGACCGUUCCUACACGGGCGGUCCGCAACCCCGGGGCGUCGCAUUCUCUUUGAGAAGCGGCGCACUAAGAGCGUACACGUUGGUACCCGAAAGAUGGUGAACUAUGCCUGGCCAGAACGAAGUCAGGGGAAACCCUGGUGGAGGUUCGUAGCGAUUCUGACGUGCAAAUCGAUCGUCGGAGCUGGGUAUAGGGGCGAAAGACUAAUCGAACCAUCUAGUAGCUGGUUCCCUCCGAAGUUUCCCUCAGGAUAGCUGGCGCUCGGAUGAAAGAGUCUCAUCCGGUAAAGCGAAUGAUUAGAGGCCUUGGGGCCGAAACGACCUCAACCUAUUCUCAAACUUUAAAUGGGUGAGAACUCCGGCUUGCUUAAGUGAAGCCGCGAGAUUUUCACGGAUCAGAGUGCCAAGUGGGCCAAUUUUGGUAAGCAGAACUGGCGCUGUGGGAUGAACCAAACGCAGAGUUAAAGCGCCUAAAUCGACGCUCAUUGGAAACCAUGAAAGGCGUUGGUUGCUUAAGACAGCAGGACGGUGGCCAUGGAAGUCGGAAUCCGCUAAGGAGUGUGUAACAACUCACCUGCCGAAGCAACUAGCCCUGAAAAUGGAUGGCGCUGAAGCGUCGUGCUUAUACUCUGCCCUCAGGGCAAGAGAGGAUGGAGCUUGCUCCGCCAUGAAGCCCUGAGGAGUAGGAGGGUCGCGUCGGUGUGCGCAGAAGUGUCUGGGUGUGAACCCGCAUGGAGCCGCCGACGGUGCAGAUCUUGGUGGUAGUAGCAAAUACUCCAGAGAGGCCCUGGAGGGCUGAUGUGGUAGAAGGGUUUCGUGUGAACAGCCGUUGCACACGAGUCAGUCGAUCCUAAGCCCUAGGAGAAAUCCGAAGUCGAUGUGUGAGUCUUAUCAUGUUUCUACCCAAGUGUAUGAAGGUGUAACUUGUGCAGACCACCGUCGGGCGAAAGGGAAUCCGGUUCCUAUUCCGGAACCCAGAGUCGGAACCGAAUCCAAUCGGGCCCUUAAAAGCUCGUCAGGGUAACCUAACAUGCCCCAGAGACUUCGUCGGGAGCUGCCGGGAGAGUUAUCUUUUCUGUAUAAGAGCCCAUAUUCCCUGGAAGCCUUUAGCAGGGAGAUAGGGAACAGGGCUCGAAGAGCACCGCACUUGCGGCGGUGUCGGCAGCGUCCUCUCGGACCUUGAAAAUCUGGGCGAGGGCCACGUGGACGUCCGAUCUGGUUCGUACCCAUAUCCGCAGC
rnacentral:rRNA from 1 species